UUGAACGCUGGCGGCAUGCUUUACACAUGCCAGUCGAACGGUAACAGGCCGCAAGGUGCUGACGAGUGGCGAACGGGUGAGUAAUGCAUCGGAACGUGCCCAGUCGUGGGGGAUAACUACUCGAAAGAGUAGCUAAUACCGCAUACGAUCUAUGGAUGAAAGCGGGGGACCGUAAGGCGUCGCGCGAUUUGAGCGGCCGAUGUCAGAUUAGGUAGUUGGUGGGGUAAAGGCUCACCAAGCCAACGAUCUGUAGCCGGUCUGAGAGGACGACCAGCCACACUGGGACUGAGACACGGCCCAGACUCCUACGGGAGGCAGCAGUGGGGAAUUUUGGACAAUGGGCGCAAGCCUGAUCCAGCAAUGCCGCGUGCAGGAAGAAGGCCUUCGGGUUGUAAACUGCUUUUGUACGGAACGAAACGGCUCUGGUUAAUACCCGGGGCUAAUGACGGUACCGUAAGAAUAAGCACCGGCUAACUACGUG
rnacentral:rRNA from 1 species